rnacentral:rRNA from 1 species
CCAAUAGCAUAUAUUAAAGUUGUUGCGGUUGAAACGCCCGUAGUUGGAUCAGCGGAUUUGGAGAACGGUCUGCCGAUGGGCUGUACUGUUCUCCUGUCCUAUUUUCUCUAGUUCGCUCUAGGUGCUCUUCACUGAGUGUCUAGAGUGGCUGGAACUUUUACUUUGAAAAAAUUAGAGUGCUCAAAGCAGGCGUCUCAGCCUGAAUAGUGGUGCAUGGAAUAAUGGAAUAGGACCGCGCGUUCUAUUUUGUUGGUUUUCGGGACGCGGGUAAUGAUUAAGAGGGACAGACGGGGGCAUUUGUACUGCGACGUGAGAGGUGAAAUUCUUGGAUCGUCGCAAGACGAACUACUGCGAAAGCAUUUGCCAAGAAUGUUUUCAUUAAUCAAGGACGAUAGUUAGAGGUUCGAAGGCGAUCAGAUACCGCCCUAGUUCUAACCGUAAACGAUGUCAACCAGCGAUCCGCAGGAGUUAUUCAUGACUCUGCGGGCAGCUUCCGGGAAACCAAAGUUUUUGGGUUCCGGGGGGAGUAUGGUUGCAAAGCUGAAACUUAAAGGAAUUGACGGAAGGGCACCACCAGGAGUGGAGCCUGCGGCUUAAUUUGACUCAACGCGGGGAAACUCACCCGGCCCGGACACCGUAAGGAUUGACAGAUUGAGAGCUCUUUCUUGAUUCGGUGGGUGGUGGUGCAUGGCCGUUCUUAGUUGGUGGAGCGAUUUGUCUGGUUAAUUCCGAUAACGAACGAGACUCUAGCCUACUAAAUAGAAGGCAAAUUAUUCGUUUGCUGUACUUC